rnacentral:rRNA from 1 species
AACGAACGCUGGCGGCGUGGUUCAGGCAUGCAAGUCGAACGAUCCCGCAAGGGAUAGUGGCAGAAGGGUGAGUAACGCGUAGGUAAUCUACCCUCGAAACGGGGAUAACAUCUCGAAAGAGGUGCUAAUACCCGAUGACAUAAUCUGGUCGCAUGAUCGGAUUAUCAAAGGUGGCUCGCAAGGGCUGCCGCUCGUGGAGGAGCCUGCGACCUAUCAGCUAGUUGGUGGGGUAACGGCCUACCAAGGCAAUUGACGGGCAGCUGGUCUAAGAGGACGGUCAGCCACAUUGGGACUGAGACACUGCCCAGACUCCUACGGGAGGCUGCAGUCGAGGAUCUUUAGCAAUGCCCGAAAGGGUGACUAUGCGACGCCGCGUGCAGGAUGAAGGCCUU